UCCUAUUCUAACCCAUAGCAGUACCACAAAGCCUCUAACCAAAAGAGUAAUAAAAUCUAGUCGGGACAUGCCCCCAACCAUGGCCAAAAAUAAUAUCCAAAAAUAAAUAAAAAUGUCUAAGAAUAUCUAUGACAUGAAAUAGAGCCUUUCAAAAAGAUGAAAGCUCACCACUUUAAUCAAAAUGUUAUUCCCGAGUUAAUCACUAUAUAGGAGGAGUAGAACGGCC
rnacentral:lncRNA from 1 species